UAGCUCAGUGGUAGAGCACUUGCCUCGAAGGUGUGAGGCCCUGAGUUCGAUCCUCAG
rnacentral:tRNA from 1 species